rnacentral:rRNA from 1 species
UACGGAGGGGGCUAGCGUUGUUCGGAAUCAUUGGGCGUAAAGGGCGCGUAGGCGGCCGAUCAAGUCGGAGGUGAAAUCCCUCGGCUCAACUGAGGAAUUGCCGUUCGAUACUGUUCGGCUUGAGUCCUGGAGAGGGUAGCGGAAUUCCCGGUGUGAGCGGUGAAAUGCGUAGAGACCGGGAAGAACACCAGUGGCGAAGGCGGCUACCU